rnacentral:snoRNA from 1 species
ACACCAUGAUUGGGCCAUUUUCUCAGCAGCACCUGAAAACGCUCCCAAGCUUCAUAAAAGGCUUCAUUGGCACCUUGUCGGAAUGUUGAUAUUUCGAACUUAGCAU